rnacentral:rRNA from 1 species
UACGUAGGGGCCAAGCGUUGUCCGGAUUUAUUGGGUUUAAAGGGUGCGUAGGCGGAUUAUUAAGUCAGUGGUGAAAGCUCUCAGCCUAACUGAGAAAUUGCCAUUGGUACUGAUGAUCUUGAGUACAUUUGAAGUGGGCGGAAUGUGUCAUGUAGUGGUGAAAUACUUAGAUAUGACACAGAACACCGAUUGCGUAGGCAGCUCGCUAAACUGUAACUGACGCUGAGGCACGAAAGCGUGGGGAGCAAACAGG